AUUGAACGCUGGCGGCAGGCUUAACACAUGCAAGUCGAGCGGAGACUUCGGUCUUAGCGGCGAACGGGGUGAGGAAUGCCUGGGAUCUGCCUGGUAGUGGGGGAUAACGUUCCGAAAGGAACGCUAAUUACCGCAUACGUCCUACGGGAGAAAGCAGGGGGACCUUCGGGCCUUGCGCUAUCAGAUGAGCCCAGGUCGGAUUAGCUAGUAGGUGAGGUAAAGGCUCACCUAGGCGACGAUCCGUAGCUGGUCUGAGAGGAUGAUCAGCCACACUGGAACUGAGACACGGUCCAGACUCCUACGGGAGGCAGCAGUGGGGAAUAUUGGACAAUGGGCGAAAGCCUGAUCCAGCCAUGCCGC
rnacentral:rRNA from 1 species